rnacentral:rRNA from 1 species
AGGGUUUGAUUCUGGCUCAGGAUGAACGCUAGCUACAGGCUUAACACAUGCAAGUCGAGGGGCAGCGGGAUUGAAGCUUGCUUCAAUCGCCGGCGACCGGCGCACGGGUGAGUAACGCGUAUCCAACCUUCCGCUUACUCGGGGAUAGCCUUUCGAAAGAAAGAUUAAUACCCGAUGGUAUCUUAAGCACACAUGUAAUUAAGAUUAAAGAUUUAUCGGUAAGCGAUGGGGAUGCGUUCCAUUAGGUAGUAGGCGGGGUAACGGCCCACCUAGCCUACGAUGGAUAGGGGUUCUGAGAGGAAGGUCCCCCACAUUGGAACUGAGACACGGUCCAA